AGUGGACGCUGGCGGCAGGCCUAACACAUGCAAGUCGAGCGGCAGCGCGGGGGCAACCCUGGCGGCGAGCGGCGGACGGGUGAGGAAUUCGUCGGAAUCUGCCUUUUUGUGGGGGAUAACGUAGGGAAACUUACGCUAAUACCGCAUACGUCCUACGGGAGAAAGUGGGGGACCGCAAGGCCUCACGCAGAAAGAUGAGCCGACGACCGAUUAGCUAGUUGGUGGGGUAAAGGCCCACCAAGGCGACGAUCGGUAGCUGGUCUGAGAGGAUGAUAGCCACACUGGGACUGAGACACGGCCCAGACUCCUACGGGAGGCAGCAGUGGGGAAUAUUGGACAAUGGGCGCAAGCCUGAUCCAGCCAUGCCGCGUGUGUGAAGAAGGCCUUCGGGUUGUAAAGCACUUUUGUCCGGAAAGAAAUCCCUGGAGCUAAUACCUUCGGGGGAUGACGGUACCGGAAGAAUAAGCACCGGCUAACUUCGUG
rnacentral:rRNA from 1 species